UGGGGAAUAUUGCACAAUGGGCGCAAGCCUGAUGCAGCCAUGCCGCGUGUGUGAAGAAGGCCUUCGGGUUGUAAAGCACUUUCAGCGGGGAGGAAGGCGGUGAGGUUAAUAACCUCAUCGAUUGACGUUACCCGCAGAAGAAGCACCGGCUAACUCCGUGCCAGCAGCCGCGGUAAUACGGAGGGUGCAAGCGUUAAUCGGAAUUACUGGGCGUAAAGCGCACGCAGGCGGUCUGUCAAGUCGGAUGUGAAAUCCCCGGGCUCAACCUGGGAACUGCAUUCGAAACUGGCAGGCUAGAGUCUUGUAGAGGGGGGUAGAAUUCCAGGGGUAGCGGUGAAAUGCGUAGAGAUCUGGAGGAAUACCGGUGGCGAAGGCGGCCCCCUGGACAAAGACUGACGCUCAGGUGCGAAAGCGUGGGGAGCAAACGGG
rnacentral:rRNA from 1 species